rnacentral:rRNA from 2 species
UGCAGUCGAGCGAAUCGAUGGGAGCUUGCUCCCUGAGNUUAGCGGCGGACGGGUGAGUAACACGUGGGCAACCUGCCUAUAAGACUGGGAUAACUUCGGGAAACCGGAGCUAAUACCGGAUACGUUCUUUUCUCGCAUGAGAGAAGAUGGAAAGACGGUUUACGCUGUCACUUAUAGAUGGGCCCGCGGCGCAUUAGCUAGUUGGUGAGGUAAUGGCUCACCAAGGCGACGAUGCGUAGCCNACCUGAGAGGGUGAUCGGCCACACUGGGACUGAGACACGGCCCAGACUCCUACGGGAGGCAGCAGUAGGGAAUCUUCCGCAAUGGACGAAAGUCUGACGGAGCAACGCCGCGUGAACGAAGAAGGCCUUCGGGUCGUAAAGUUCUGUUGUUAGGGAAGAACAAGUACCAGAGUAACUGCUGGUACCUUGACGG